UACGUAGGGGGCAAGCGUUGUCCGGAUUUAUUGGGCGUAAAGAGCUCGUAGGCGGCUUGGCAAGUCGGAUGUGAAAACUCCAGGCUCAACCUGGAGCCGCCAUUCGAUACUGCUAUGGCUAGAGUCCGGUAGGGGAGUGUGGAAUUCCCGGUGUAGCGGUGAAAUGCGCAGAUAUCGGGAGGAACACCGAUGGCGAAGGCAGCACUCUGGGCCAGCACUGACGCUGAGGAGCGAAAGCGUGGGGAGCGAACAGG
rnacentral:rRNA from 1 species